AGCACUUAUGUAUGUGUAUUUGUUUAGUUUGUAACAAAGCCUUAGAGACAGGUGCAAACAGUAAAUCCUCUUUUGCAACCCAGAACUCAUCGCUAAUAUGAGAUUUUGGUACAUGUAAGAAGGAAUAUG
ensembl:snoRNA